rnacentral:misc_RNA from 1 species
UCUCCGUUGGUGAACCAACGGAGGGAUCAUUACCGAGUUUACAACUCCCAAACCCAAUGUGAACCAUACCAAACUGUUGCCUCGGCGGGGUCACGCCCCGGGUGCGUCGCAGCCCCGGAACCAGGCGCCCGCCGGAGGGACCAACCAAACUCUUUCUGUAGUCCCCUCGCGGACGUUAUUUUUACAGCUCUGAGCAAAAAUUCAAAAUGAAUCAAAACUUUCAACAACGGAUCUCUUGGUUCUG